rnacentral:pre_miRNA from 1 species
GAGACACCCCUACGGGGCAAGACUUGCUUCAGUGGGGCUUUGGUGCUGUCUGAGUCUGCCCCCUGCGUGUGUCCUU